CCUGAACUUCUUGCUGAGCUGCACCUAGUAAGUCAAGUGGAAGGAAGAGCAAUGCUGACAACACUCUGACAUGUCAAAGCUAGAUACAUUACAUUUUACAAAGUCUAGAAUUUUAAAACUAUAACAUAAUGAACUGUAGAAUUUAAAAAAGCAGCAUGAACUUCAAAAUAGUAGAUCAUGUUUACAUUCUAAUACAUGGUUAGCAAAUGGAUUAAAGGAGAGAUCUUAAAAAGAAUCCUAAGAACAUAUUUUAUAGCUAAUAUGUAAUCAUCCUGAUAGAACAUUUACAAGAAAAAUAAUGGCACUGUGACUUAAGAGACUUGCAUGUAGUCAUGACAGUAAGGGUGCAGUCUGGAAAGGACAGAAUUAUAAAGUAUUUUAUCAAAAUUUCAAACUUGAAGACAUCAUUAAGAAGAUAAGCCACAAAUAGGGUGAAAUGAAUGGCCUAUAUUGAUCAUGGACCUAUAUCUGUAACAUAUCAAGUAACCUAAAAAUACUAUAGAUUGAGUAAAUAAGCAAUUAAGCACCAAGUAGCCCACAAAGACUGGGAGCUAGUAAUAAAAUGCAGCUUCAGGAACACAGCUAUGGGUCUGAAGCCUCAACACUGGGAAAAAAACCAAGGGUGGAGAACAAAAGAUGUGAAUACAUUUCAACAAAGAAGACAGGCAGCAAAGCAAGCACAGAAGAUGCUUAGUUCUUAAAGAAAUGCAAAUUAAAACCACAAGAGGGAACUUGCACAUCUUUAAAAGUUAAAAAACCACCUACCAUAUAAUUCCUAAAAAAUAUGCACAGACAUUUAAACUCAGAGAAAUGAAACAGACGCCCAUAAGAAGGCCUGUGUACGAGUGCUUACAUAACUUUAUUUCUAAUACCCAAACUUAAAACUCCUCGAUUGUUCAUCAACGGAUAGACAAACUGUAGCGUAUUCAUACCAAAAAAAUAUCACUCAGCAAUGAGAAGAAGUUAACUCCUGACACACAUACAUAUUAACUAGGAAUUUUAAAUUACAAAGCCCAAGCAAAAGAGUGCAGGAAUUCACUUAAGUACUGGAAAAUAUAAUUCAAUUAAUUUCUUUGGCUGCAUAUUGCUUUGGAGCUUUGCAAGGCAAGUUCUCUGCCACCGAGCUUUAUCUCCAGUCAUAUUUAGUUGCCUGUUUUGUUUUUUUUUAAACAAAACAAAACAAAAUACGGCUUUAUAAAGAUAAACUUCCCAUACCAAGAAAUUCACUCAUAAAAUUAAAGAUUUUAGUAUAUUCAGAGUUGUAUAAUCAGCAGCAGCAAAGUCAAAUUUUCCAACAGCUCUCAAGUCUACUAGAAACUGCUCUACAUCUUCCCCAAAUCUUUGAAUCUGAGUAAUUACUGACCUAUUUUCUGUCUCUGCAAUAUAGUUCUCACACAUUUCACAGAACAAACAUAAAAACAGUGUAACAAAGUUCUACUUAAUUCAUUUUUUAAGAUUUAUCUGAGUGCUGGGCAUAGUAGCUUAUGCCUAGAAUUCUAACCUUCAGGAGGCUAAAAUGGUGGGAUCGCUGAACACAAGGCCAGUCUGGGCUAUCUUACAAGACUAUACAGUAAGACUUUGUCUCAAAAGUAAUAAACAGAGCUAGAAAGAUGGCUUGACAGUUAAGAGAACUUCCUGUUCUUCCAGAGGCUCAGAGUUCAUUCAGUUCUUUCUACCCACAAUACCUCUAAGUCUAGAUCCGUGUGAUCCAAUACCCACUUCUGGCUUUAGGGGAAGUCUGCUCAUGUACCUGAACACACACAUACCCAACAUGAACACAUGAGCAUUUGCGCACACACACAUACACACGACUUUCAGAUUGCUCAUAUCAAGUACAAGUAUAACUGAUAUUUUAUAUACUGGUUUUACCCUUUACAAACUUGCUUGAUUACUUAGAGUUCUAAUAGUUCUUAAUGGAUUUGUUAUAAGUUAUCUGUUAUUUGUUAUAUUUGCUUUAAAAAUGUUUCCUUUUCUGUAUCCAUUCUUCAGUUGAGGGAUAUCUGAGCUGUUUCCAGCUUCUGGAUAUGGUGAAUAAAGCUGCUAUGAACAUAGUGGAGCACAUGUCCUUGUGGUAUGGUGGAGUGUCUUUUGGGUAUAUGCCCAGGAGUGGUAUAGCUGGGUCUUCAGGUAGAACUAUUUCCAAUUUUCUGAGAAACUGCCAGAUUGAGUGGUUGUAUCAGUUUGUAAUCCCAUUAACAAUGAAGGAGUAUUCUUCUUUCUCCUCAUCCUUGCCAGCAUGUGCUAGCUGUCACUUUAGUUUUUCAUCUUAGCCAUCUGAUUAGUGUAUGGUGGAAUGUCAGGGUCAUGUUGAUUUUCAUUUCCCUGAUGACUAAGGAUGUUAAACAUUUCUUUAUGUGCUUCUCAGCCAUUAGAGAAUCCUCGGUUGAGAAUUCUGUUUGGCUCUAUACCCCAAUUUGGUUAAUUUGGUUAUUUUGUUUUUAGAAGUCUAACUUUCUGAGUUCUUUGUAUAUUUUGGAUAUUAGCCUUCUAUUAGAUGUUGAAUUAGUAAAGAUCUUUUCCCAAUCUGUAGGUUGUGCUUUGUCCUACUGACAGUGUCCUUUACCUUACAGAAAAUUUUCAGUCUUAUGAGGUCCCAUUUAUCAAUUGUUGACCUUAGAGUCUGAGCCAUUGGUGUUCUGUUAAGGAAAAUUUCCCUUAGAUUCAGUGUAUCUGGUUUUAUGUUGAGGUCGAUCCACUUGGGUUUGAGCUUUGUACAAGGAGAUAAAAAAGGGAUCAAUUUGCAUUCUUCUACAUGUAGACCACCAAUUAGACCAGCACCAUUUGUUGAAGAUAACCCCCACCUCCCAAUGGUUUUGGCUUCUUUGUCAAAUAUCAAGUGUCCACAGGUGUGUGGGUUUAUUUCUGGGUCUUCAAUUCUAUUCCAUUGAUCUACUUGCCUGUCUCUGUCUUGUGGUUUUUAUCACUAUUGCUCUGUAGUACAGCUUGAGGUCAGGGAUGGUGAUUUUCCCAGAAGUUUUUUAAUUGUUGAGAAUUGUUUUUGGUAUCCUGGGUUUUUUGUUUUUCUAUAUAAAAUUGAGAAUUGCUCUUUCCGUGUUUGUGAUGAACUGUAUUGGAAUUUUGAUGGGGAUUGUAUUGAAUAUGUAGAUUGCUUUUGGUAAGAUGGCCAUUUUUACUGUUAAUCCUACUGAUCCAUAAGCAUGGGAGAUCUUUCCAUCUUCUGAGGUCUCUAUGAUUUCUUUCUUCAGGGACUUGAAGUUCUUGUCAUACAGAUCUUUCAUUUGCUUGGCUAGAGUUUCAUUGUAUAUUAUUUGUGCCUAUUGUGAAGGGUGUUGUUUCCUACUUUCUUUCUCAGCCUGUUUAUCAUUUGUAUAAAGGUUACUAAUUUGUUUGAGGUAAUUUUAUAGCCAGCCACUUUGCUGAAGUUGCUUAUCAGCUGUAGGAGUUCUCUGGUAGUGGCUCAUGAACAUAAUGGACUACUACUAUUCAGAUACUAAAAACAAGGACAUCAUGAAUUUUGCAAGCAAACGGAUGGAACGAGAAAAUAUCAUGCUGAGUGAGGAAACCCAGAUCCAAGAGGACAUGCAUGGUAUGUACUAACUGAUAAGCAGAUAUUAGACAAAAAGUACAGAACACCCAAGAAGGAAGGCCCAAGUGAGGAUGCUUCAAUCCCACUGAGAAGGGGGAACAGCAUAGUCAUGGGAGGCAGAGGGAGGAAGUGAUUUGGGUGGGAGAAGGGGAAAGGGGAGCAGGAUCAGGUAUGGGGGGGGUAGACCAGGGAGAAGCCCAGAGGGCCAGAAGAAUGAAUAGAAAUAUGCAGCUGCAGGGGGUAGAGGGUGGGGUCCGGGUGUGUGUGUGUUUUGAAUGUAUGUAAAGUCCCAGAAACCUGGGAUGUGAGAGGCUCCCAGGACUCAACGGAGAUGACCUUAGCCAAAAUGUCCAACAGUAAGGAGAUGG
rnacentral:lncRNA from 1 species